UACGGGGGGAGCAAGCGUUGUUCGGAUUUACUGGGCGUAAAGGGCGCGUAGGCGGUCAGCACAAGUCAGUUGUGAAAUCUCCGGGCUUAACCCGGAAAGGUCAACUGAUACUGUGCGACUAGAGUGCGGAAGGGGCAACUGGAAUUCCUGGUGUAGCGGUGAAAUGCGCAGAUAUCAGGAGGAACACCGAUGGCGAAGGCAGGUCUCUGGGCCGAUACUGACGCUGAGGAGCGAAAGCGUGGGGAGCGAACAGG
rnacentral:rRNA from 1 species